rnacentral:rRNA from 1 species
CUACGGGGUGCUCCAGUAGGGAAUAUUGCACAAUGGGCGAAAGCCUGAUGCAGCAACGCCGCGUGUGCGAUGAAGGCCUUCGGGUUGUAAAGCACUUUUCGGGGAGAUGAGGAAGGACAGUAUCCCCGGAAUAAGGCUCGGCUAACUACGUGCCAGCAGCCGCGGUAAAACGUAGGAGUCAAGCGUUAUCCGAAUUUACUGGGCGUAAAGCGCGUGCAGGCGGUUUGGUAAGUUGGAUGUGAAAGCUCCCGGCUCAACUGGGAGAGGACGUUCAAUACUGCCAGGCUAGAGGGCGGCAGAGGGAGGUGGAAUUCCCGGUGUAGUGGUGAAAUGCGUAGAUAUCGGGAGGAACACCAGUGGCGAAGGCGGCCUCCUGGGUCGCACCUGACGCUAAGACGCGAAAGCUAGGGGAGCGAACGGGAUUAGAUACCCCUGUAGUC